rnacentral:rRNA from 1 species
UACAGAGACCUCAAGCGUUAUCCGGAAUCAUUGGGCGUAAAGCGUACCGACAGGUGGUUUAGAAAGUCAGAUGUGAAAUUCCAAGGCUCAACCUUGGGACUGUCAUUUGAAACUUCUAAACUAGAGGGGCAAAGAGGAAGCUGGAACGAACGGUGUAGUAGUGAAAUGCGUUGAUAUCGUUCGGAACACCAAUAGCGAAGGCAGGCUUCUGGGUGCCACCUGACACUGCUAGGACGAAAGCGUGGGGAGCGAAUGGG